AGCAUUCAAGCAAAAUUUGCCCACAUGGCCACCUCCUGUGCUUCUUCAGCCAUUGCAGCAGUUGCUUUCUCUUCCCCAAGGCAAGUUAUCAUCACCCUCCUGCCAGAAUAAAACUCAAUUAUACAAAAACUAUAUAUAUAUAUAUACACAUGAUACAUUCAUGAAUCAUUGAUUGAUUGCGUGUGUAUGUCUAUAAUUGUAUAUUUAACUUUAGUUUUAGGAAUAAAUAAUCAAUGUUAACUCUAAAUGGGAAUCUUUAUUUAUAAUUUGUUGUUUACCGCUAUCUAUCAUUUCCAAGCUACAUGAUUGUACUGUUUAAAGAUGGAUAAUGAUAAAAACACGAUAUUAAUGCACGUGCAUCCAUCAAGUAAUCAAUUCAUUAAAUUACAGUUCCCAGAAAAAUGGAUCCAUUGUGGGAACAACCAAGGCUUCUUUUCUUGGUGGGAGAAGACUGAGAGUGAGCAAGUUUACCGCACCAGCUGGAACACGAUCGGUCAGUACUGUUUGUGCUGUAGCUGACCCUGAAAGGCCCCUCUGGUUCCCUGGCAGCACCCCUCCUCCAUGGCUUGAUGGCAGGUCUGAUGAUGAUUUCAUUUGUAGUCCACUAUAUGAUAUUACAAAUUAACAUAAGAGCAGUCUUUUUUUUGUGUGUAUAUAUAUUUUUUCAAGUAAGAGCACAGUAGCACUAUGUUGCUGA
rnacentral:lncRNA from 1 species